rnacentral:misc_RNA from 1 species
UUAAGUUCAGCGGGUAUCCCUACCUGAUCCGAGGUCAACCUGAAAAAAUUGGGGGUUGCUGGCAAGCACACACCCGGAUCUCCGAAGCGAGAAAAAUUACUACGCUUGAAGCCGAAUGGCACCGCCACUGAUUUUAAGGCCUGCCGAAACUCAGCAGGGCCCAAUACCAAGCAGAGCUUGAGGGUUGUAAUGACGCUCGA